GAUGAACGCUGGCGGCGCAUUUAAGACAUGCAAGUCGAACGAAAAUAUAUUUUUUGUUUACAAUGAAUAUAUUUUAGUGGCGGACGGGUGAGUAAUACGUAGAUAAUCUGCCUUCCAGAGAGAAAUAACAAGAGGAAACUCUUGCUAAUGUCGCAUAAGACCACGCUGUGGCAUCACAGAGAGGUCAAAGGGGAAACCCGCUGGAAGAUGAGUCUACGGCUGAUUAGCUAGUUGGAGAGGUAAGAGCUCACCAAGGCGAUGAUCAGUAGCCGGGCUGAGAGGCUGACCGGCCACAUUGGGACUGAGACACGGCCCAUACUCCUACGGGAGGCAGCAGUUGGGAAUAUUGGACAAUGGAGGAAACUCUGAUCCAGUGACGCCGCGUGAAGGAAGAAGGUCUUCGGAUUGUAAACUUAUUUUAUCAGGGAAGAAAAAAAUGACUGUACCUGAAGAAAAAGCACCGGCUAACUACGUGCCAGCAGCCGCGGUAAUACGUAGGGUGCAAGCGUUAUCCGGAUUUACUGGGUGUAAAGGGCGAGUAGACGGCGUUGCAAGUCAGAUGUGAAAACCUAGGGCUCAACCGUAGGACUGCAUCUGAAACUGUAAUGCUAGAGUGCAGGAGAGGUAAGUGGAAUUCCUAGUGUAGCGGUGAAAUGCGUAGAUAUUAGGAGGAACACCAGUGGCGAAGGCGACUUACUGGACUGUAACUGACGUUGAGGAGCGAAAGUGUGGGGAGCAAACAGGAUUAGAUACCCUGGUAGUCCACACUGUAAACGAUGGAUACUAGGUGUAGGCAUGAAUGUGUCUGUGCCGGCGCAAACGCAAUAAGUAUCCCACCUGGGGAGUACGGCCGCAAGGUUGAAACUCAAAGGAAUUGACGGGGGCCCGCACAAGCAGUGGAGUAUGUGGUUUAAUUCGACGCAACGCGAAGAACCUUACCAAGACUUGACAUAUACAGGAAAGACUAAGAAAUUAGUCCCCACUUCGGUGUCUGUAAACAGGUGAUGCAUGGUUGUCGUCAGCUCGUGUCGUGAGAUGUUGGGUUAAGUCCCGCAACGAGCGCAACCCUCGUGAUUAGUUGCCUCCUGGAGGAACUCUAAUCAGACUGCCGUAGUUAAUACGGAGGAAGGUGAGGAUGAUGUCAAAUCAUCACGUCCCUUAUGUCUUGGGCUACACACGUACUACAAUGGGCGUUACAAAGAGAAGCGAAACCGCGAGGUGGAGCAAAACUGAAAAAGGCGUCCCUAGUUCGGAUUGUAGGCUGAAACUCGCCUACAUGAAGCUGGAAUUGCUAGUAAUCAUAGGUCAGCAUACUAUGGUGAAUACGUUCCCGGGCCUUGUACACACCGCCCGUCACACCAUGAGAGUUGAGAAUACCCGAAGUCCAUGUCAAAGUGGCCGAAGGUAGGCUUGAUGAUUGGGGUGAAGUCGUAACAAGGUAGCCGUAUCGGAAGGUGCGGCUGGAUCACCUCCUUUCUAAGGAGAAAUGUUUGACUUGUAUUGUUUAUUUUUGAGUGUGCUAAACACACUAUGCUUGUCAGGGCCCGUAGCUCAGAUGGUUAGAGUGCACGCCUGAUAAGCGUGAGGUCACAAGUUCGAUUCUUGUCGGGCCCACCAUAUAAGUUUAGUGUGAGUACAUUCAAAGCACAUUGAAAAAUAUAUAAUGUAAAAGUAACAAGCAAAAAUUAGUAAUACAGCAAGAAAAUUCAACUUAUGAAAAUAAGGAAAAAAUUAGGUUAAGCUAGUAAGAGCGUAGGGUGAAUGCCUAGGUACCAAGAGACGAAGAAAGACGUGACAAGCUGCGAAAAGCUAUGGAGAGGAGCAAAUAUCCAGAGACCCAUAGAUGUCUGAAUGGGGGAACCCACUGUGAGUAAGAAACACAGUAUCCAUACAUGAAUAUAUAGUGUAUGAGAAGUGAAACGAGGUGAACUGAAACAUCUAAGUAACCUCAGGAAAAGAAAGAGAAAUCGAUUCCGUGAGUAGUGGCGAGCGAAAGCGGAGGAGCCCAAACCGAGAGUAGAAAUACAUUCGGGGUUUAGGACUACAAUAAGUUACUUAAAGUCAUAGCAGAAAUGUUUUGGGAAAGCAUACCAAAGAGAGUGAAAGUCUCGUAAGCGAAAUGAUGAUAAGGACGAGUAGAAUCCAGAGUACGGCAGGACACGAGAAAUCCUGUCGGAAGCAGGUCAGACCACUGACCAAGGCUAAAUACUACUUGGUGACCGAUAGUGAAGC
rnacentral:misc_RNA from 1 species